AUUGAACGCUGGCGGCAGGCCUAACACAUGCAAGUCGAGCGGGGGAAGGUAGCUUGCUACCGGACCUAGCGGCGGACGGGUGAGUAAUGCUUAGGAAUCUGCCUAUUAGUGGGGGACAACAUCUCGAAAGGGAUGCUAAUACCGCAUACGUCCUACGGGAGAAAGCAGGGGAUCUUCGGACCUUGCGCUAAUAGAUGAGCCUAAGUCGGAUUAGCUAGUUGGUGGGGUAAAGGCCUACCAAGGCGACGAUCUGUAGCGGGUCUGAGAGGAUGAUCCGGCACACUGGGACUGAGACACGGCCCAGACUCCUACGGGAGGCAGCAGUGGGGAAUAUUGGACAAUGGGGGGAACCCUGAUCCAGCCAUGCCGCGUGUGUGAAGAAGGCCUUAUGGUUGUAAAGCACUUUAAGCGAGGAGGAGGCUCUUUUGGUUAAUACCCAAGAUGAGUGGACGUUACUCGCAGAAUAAGCACCGGCUAACUCUGUGCCAGCCGCCGCGGUAA
rnacentral:rRNA from 1 species